rnacentral:rRNA from 1 species
GUUUGAUCCUGGCUCAGAUUGAACGCUGGCGGGAUGCUUUACACAUGCAAGUCGAACGGCAGCACGGACUUCGGUCUGGUGGCGGUAGCGAACAGGUGAGUAAUGUAUCGGAACGUGCCUAGUAGCGGGGGAUAACUACGCGAAAGCGUAGCUAAUACCGCAUACGCCCUUCGAAGGAAAGCAGGGGGACAGCUGGACUCUCGCACUAUUAAACUUGACCGAUAUCGGAUUAGCUAGUUGGUGGGGUAACGGCUCGCAAGGCGGCGAUCCGUAGCUGGUUUGAGACGUCAUGCACUGGGACGAGACACGGCCCAGACUCUCUAAGGAGGCAGCAGUGGGGAAUUUUGGACAAUGGGGAAACCUGAUCCAGCCAUCCACGUGUGCGAUGAAGGCCUUCGGGUUGUAAAAGCACUUUGGCAGGAAAGAAACAGCACGGGAUAAUACCCCGUGCAACUGACUAAUACCUGCAGAAUAAGCACCGGCUAACUACGUACUUAGCAAUAGCAGUAUGCGUAGGGUGCAAGCGUUAAUCCAGAUUACUGGGCGUAAAGCGUGCGCGGUUCGGAAAAGAAAGAUGUAAAAAAUCCCAGAGCUUAACUUUGGAACUGCAUUUUUAGCACCGAGCUAGAGUGUGUCAGAGGGAGGUGGAAUUCCGCGUGUGGCAGUGAAAUGCGUAGAUAUGCGGGAGGAGGAGCACCGAUGGCGAAGGCAGCCUCCUGGGAUAUUCUGACGCUCUGUGCGAAAGCGUGGGGAGCAAACGGGAUUAGAGCCACCUGGUAGUCCCCGCCCUAAACGAUGUCAACUAGCUGUUGAAGGCCUUCGGAGCCUUGUGGCCACCAGCCUAACGCGUGAAGUUGACCGCCUGGGGAGAGUACAGUCACCAAGUUAAAACUCAAAGGAAUUGACGAGGGACCCGCACAAGCAGAACGGAUGAUGUGGAUUAAUUCGAUGCAACGCAAAAAACCUUACCUACCCUUGACAUGUCUGGAAUCCCGAAGAGAUUUGGGAGUGCUCGCAAGAGAACCGGAACACAGGUGCUGCAUGGCUGUGUCCCGGCUCCGUAUGCCGUGAGAUGUUGGGUUAAGUCCGCAACGAGCGCAACCCUUGUCAUUAGUUGCUACGAAAGGGCACUCUAAGCCGAGACUGCCGGUGACAAACCGGAGGAAGGUGAGGAUGACGUCAAGUCCUCAUGGCCCUUAUGGGUAGGGCUUCACACGUCGCCACAAUGGUCGGGACAGAGGGUCGCCAACCCGCGAGAAGGGGUAAUCCCAGAGAAACCCCGAUCGUAGUCCGGAUCAGUCUGCAACUCGACUGCGUGGAAAUUCGGAAUCGCUAAUGGCGGCUCGCGGAUCAGCAUGUCGCGGUGAAUACGUUCCCGGGUCUUGUACACGCGUCACACCAUGGGAGUGGGUUUUACCGAAGUAGUUAGCCUAACCGUAAGGAGGCGAUUACCACGGUAGGAUUCAUGACCUGGGUGAAGUCGUAACAAGGUAA